UGAUGUGAGAGUAGCAUCCAACGAUGCUGCAAUCACGGGAUCGAAGCGCGACGGGUCCCGUCAGGUGAUGGAUUCUCCCCGUCAUCCGGGUCUGGUGAUUCUAUUGUUUGCUUUGUUGUUUUCCGGCUAGACGCCCUUCGAUUUGUUGUUUCGGCAUCCAUUUGACAUUCAACUACUUUUUGAUUUGCUGUCCCGCAAUGCUCCUAAUCAAUCUCAUAACCUUCCCACACCGUCUACCUGCCCUAGUUCUUUGUUAGGUGGAGUAUGAUGCCUCAAAUUUAGAAAUUAUUGCUACUUUAACUCACAUUUUAGUGAAAAUAUUCUACAUAUAAGGAGUUUUAUGCCAUAGUUUGAGCACUAAACUUUUGGUUUAGCACUUGUAGUUAAUGAGAUUGUUUUCUCUAACGAUGUGGUCCUUAAUUACGUGCAUUGCCACAAAAAGUUAGAGGGGCACCACAUUGCUCUAGUCAAAUUUCAUUUAUCAUUCUAUUGUAUGCUCAAGCAUAAAUUUGGAGCUCAUAAAAAGGUGACAUAUGCUUCAAGUCAAAUUCAUUUGUUGCUCAGUCCACUUCAAAUAAUGUUGUUAGGAUCUGAAAGAAGAGAGCGAUCCUUUUUUUGCAAAUGAGGCCAUGCAGUAUGAAAGGGACGGUUCUGUGCGUUCAAUGGUCAAGGGUGGGAAUAACACUAUCUUCUUCUGCAGUGGAUUUUACUCAUCUCCUUGCUCUUGGCAGCUUUAGAUUUGCAGAGGUCUAAAGAAAGUUAAGGCUUUCUUGUUACAUAUCAAAAUGCUGUUAUUAUCGGUGAGCUAAAGAGGACUUACGCAGUUGAAUGAAUCAUCAUGUAAGGAUGAAAUGCUAGUCGUGGAGUCCAUCAAGAGCAGUGACCACUUCUAGGUUUCUUCUUUUCGGAGCUCGUAAGACUACUGAAUAUGAUGACCUGUAACUAUCAUCUUUCUUGAUGUAUUAAUCUUCUGCAUUGGUAACAUGUUUGCUUAUCCUCUUUAUAUCAAAUCUGGAAGUAUUACGUAAAUGGGGAUGAGGUGCAUGAGAAUCGAGAGAAUGUAAAAGCAAGAUACAGCAGUAAGGUGCACACUGCCACUUGGGUCUAGCCUAUUAGACUAAAAACUGGUCCAAUUUUCAUCCUUGAUGCAAGAAAAUAUGCCUAAUUUCCAGUUGCUGGGAUCAGUCAUCUCAAAAUCUGGAUGGCACAAACAUUCCUGCCUUAGGUAUGAAUUACAAAUUCUAUUUUUUUCCACAUAAGCCAUGAAUUGGCACGUGUCAAGAAAUGCCUGCCCUGUAAUUUACGACAACCAAGUUGUGUUAUCCGAACUGUGAGUUCUACCAUUUUCUUACACAUUUUGGUGACUGGUUUUGUUUUCUAAUUAAUAGGCCUGGACAAUUUAGUUGUCACACCCAACCUAAUAAACAAUUUGCCCGUUGUCUUCAGCGCUUUGGACUAGGGUACAUAAACGCCGGAGGCCUGUCGUCCCAAAUGCCAGUUAUGCCACUGCUCGGGCUCAGCUUUGUCGAGUUCUUUGUCAAAGGAUACAUGGAAGUUUCUAGCAUUUUCUUUUUACUGAUUCUAUAGGGUUGGAUCUUGGAUGUCUUCUUUCGGAUUGAACUAUGGUCUAUGGAACUCUAAAUUAAUAUCUGAGCAUGGCGAAUGAUAAGAAUCUUUAAUGGCAAAACUCUAUCCUCUAGCUGCUACACUUCCUUCUCCAUAAGAUAUCACUAUUUCUUUUUGACCCAUGAGCAGUCUUUUUGGAAAGUGCAGAAGCAAAUUAUGCACAUUAUGAUGGGCAAAUCGAUGAUUUGAUUGAUCUUCUUACUUCGCUUGUUUUUUGUAGUUUUGAAUGCCUAGAAUGUUUCAGAAGUUUGUCUCUGCUUCGUAGUUUAGUUGGUUGACGUUUAGUCACUUCUG